rnacentral:rRNA from 1 species
UAGGGAAUCUUCCACAAUGGACGCAAGUCUGAUGGAGCAACGCCGCGUGAGUGAAGAAGGUCUUCGGAUCGUAAAGCUCUGUUGUUGGUGAAGAAGGAUAGAGGCAGUAACUGGUCUUUAUUUGACGGUAAUCAACCAGAAAGUCACGGCUAACUACGUGCCAGCAGCCGCGGUAAUACGUAGGUGGCAAGCGUUGUCCGGAUUUAUUGGGCGUAAAGCGAGCGCAGGCGGAAUGAUAAGUCUGAUGUGAAAGCCCACGGCUCAACCGUGGAACUGCAUCGGAAACUGUCAUUCUUGAGUGCAGAAGAGGAGAGUGGAACUCCAUGUGUAGCGGUGGAAUGCGUAGAUAUAUGGAAGAACACCAGUGGCGAAGGCGGCUCUCUGGUCUGCAACUGACGCUGAGGCUCGAAAGCAUGGGUAGCGAACAGGAUUAGAUACCCUGGUAGUCCAU